rnacentral:rRNA from 1 species
AGAGUCUUAUCCUGGCUCAGGAUGAACGCUGGCGGCGUGCAUAACACAUUCAAGUCGAACGGAAACAUCCGGUGCUUGCACCGGAUGUUUUAGUGGCGGACGGGUGAGUAAUGCAUGAGCAACCUGCCUCGAAGAGUGGAAUAACACAUGGAAACGUGUGCUAAUACCGCAUAAUGUAUACUGAGGGCAUCCUCGGUAUAAGAAAGGAGCAAUCCGCUUUGAGAUGGGCUCAUGUCUGAUUAGGUAGUUGGUGAGGUAACGGCCCACCAAGCCUGCGAUCAGUAGCCGGACUGAGAGGUUGAACGGCCACAUUGGGACUGAGAUACGGCCCAGACUCCUACGGGAGGCAGCAGUGGGGAAUAUUGGACAAUGGGCGAAAGCCUGAUCCAGCGACGCCGCGUGAAGGAAGACGGUCUUCGGAUUGUAAACUUUAGUGAGCAGGGACGAUAGUGACGGUACCUGCAUAGCAAGCCACGGCUAACUACGUGCCAGCAGCCGCGGUAAUACGUAGGUGGCAAGCGUUAUCCGGAAUUACUGGGUGUAAAGGGUGAGUAGGCGGGAAGGCAAGUCAGGUGUGAAAUGCAGGGGCUCAACCCCUGAACUGCACUUGAAACUGUUUUUCUUGAGAGUCGGAGGGGUAAUCGGAAUUCCCAGUGUAGCGGUGAAAUGCGCAGAGAUUGGGAGGAACACCAGUGGCGAAGGCGGAUUACUGGACGACAACUGACGCUGAGACACGAAAGCGUGGGGAGCAAACAGGAUUAGAUACCCUGGUAGUCCACGCUGUAAACGAUGAAUGCUAGGUGUAGGGUCGAAAGAUUCUGUGCCGGAGUUAACACAAUAAGCAUUCCACCUGGGGAGUACGGCCGCAAGGUUGAAACUCAAAGGAAUUGACGGGAGCCCGCACAAGCAGUGGAGUAUGUGGUUUAAUUCGACGCAACGCGAAGAACCUUACCAGAGCUUGACAUCCCGAUGACCGGUUGGGUAAUGCCGACCUUUUCUUCGGAACAUCGGAGACAGGUGGUGCAUGGUUGUCGUCAGCUCGUGUCGUGAGAUGUUGGGUUAAGUCCCGCAACGAGCGCAACCCUUAUGUUUAGUUGCUACGAAAGAGCACUCUAGACAGACUGCCGUUGACAAAACGGAGGAAGGCGGGGAUGACGUCAAAUCAUCAUGCCCCUUACGCCCUGGGCCACACACGUACUACAAUGGCGAAAACAGAGGGAAGCAAAGACGCGAGUCGGAGCAAAUCCCUAAAAGUCGUCCCAGUUCAGACUGCAGGCUGCAACUCGCCUGCACGAAGUUGGAAUUGCUAGUAAUCGCGGAUCAGAAUGCCGCGGUGAAUACGUUAGCGGGCUUUGCACACACCGCCCGUCA